UGCCCGGCCGACAUGAUCACGUAGUCGAACUCCGUCAUCUUGGUGGUCCAGUUGGUGUCGGGCUCGUCCAGGUACAGGUUGAACAUGCCACUGUACGUGGAGGCAUUGGGGUCGACUUUGUGGGCCCUUACCAGGAACGGUGACCAGAAGCUGGCGACGGUGAAGUUGUGGGUGGGGAAGUAAUACCGUCGGAAAUUGUCGUCUUGGGUGACGGAGGCAUCCACCACGUACGUCACCUGCAGAUGCAUUUAAGGAGAAGCCUUAUGCUGCAAUGGUUGAGAGCAUCUGAAGUAGCAGUACAGUUGAUGUUCUUAUCAUUCUCUAUUGGUUGCAGGUCACUCGUUACUGAAAGUGCGGCUUUGCUACACGUUAGGGAGACACCAGAGAGAAUAAGACGAAGACUGGAAAGGGACAACUCACUCUGAGGAGGAGACAGAUGAGGGACUGCAUUUGGUUCCUCCCCAAGGAGUCGCUGACGAACGCCAGGGACUUCCCCCUAACGAGCUCCAGGAACUGCGCCGGGUUGAAGACCGGCAGCUCGCAGUGGGUCGGUUUCCACCUCCACUUCAUGAAGCCCGUGUCGGGCCUCCCAAACUUCAUGCAAUUCUGGUGCUCUUGGAUGGCCCUGCAGCUCUCGUUGGUGUAGUACGGCGCGUUAGGGUUCGGAACCCACUCCCCUCGGAAGAUGUCACACGAAUGCUGUGCCACUCCCAGACCGGCAAUGGAAUCACGAGCCAUAUCACUCGAAGAAGACGAAGAAGAAGAAGAUGAUGAUGAAGAAGAGGACUGGCUUCUCCAUGCAAGUGAUGUGGCUAACAAAGGGAAGAGAUAUAGAGGAAUGAUGGUGAGGAGGAGGGUUGCAGUCAGAAGAAGAACGAUCCUAGAGGUUUUCCGAAGGCUCGUUUUGCUUCCAUUCUGAAGCUCCCGACCUGAGUUACCCUUCAUGGGGGGAGAUAGAAGCAGCAAAGUUUGGUGCAGGUUGCUUUGUCCUCCGAUACUUGUGUGAAGAAAGGGAGGGAAUGCAGGUAUAAUUCGUUCUCAAAUAAUAAUAACGAGGUACUACUUGCUCAAGAUUAAAUUAAAUAAAAAAAAAUUAUAUUAAAUCAUUUUAAAGGAAAAAUACUUACAAUCUUGAUUGAUUCUUAGACUCUUAGACUUCGAUCCUAUCAGCUUGAAUUCUUUGAGACUUAGAUCUACAUGUAGAUAUCAUCUAUUUAUAGAUGUGAAAUAUAAGAGUUUUUUUAUCUCUAUAAUUCUAUUUAAUUUUAUUUAAAAGGUAAAUCUUCAAUUUAAGACUUUUUAAAAUAUAUUUUAACUUUUUAAGCUCUGAAUUCUUUAUCCAUAUAACUUUAUCUAAUCUUAUUUAAAAGGUAAGAUAUUAAUUUAUAAUCUUUCAAAAUAUAUUUUAACUUCUUAACAUUCCCCCUUACAGUAUAUUUUUGAGAUUACUCUCAGCUUAUUUUGGAAGAUCUUCAAAUGGUUUUUUGAAAAACGAUUUGGUAAAAAUACCUACUAUAUUAUCUUUGUUUUUUAUCUUUGUCACCUUAAUGACCAUUUUUUCUACAAUUUGGAUUUAUAGCCAAUUUUAAGGUAUUUUGAUUUUUACCUUAUAAAAUAAUUGGUUUGUUAAUUAUUUCCAUAAUUAGAUGCCUUAACUAUAUAAAUUCUCGAGUACCAAGUGAGGAAGCUUUGUAUUUUGCUUCAGUUAUAGAAAAAGAGAUCGAUUAUUAUUUUUUACUACACUAUGAGAUACAAGUAAAAUAAUAUAAAAAGACAUAAAAAGAAGUAAAUCUAUGAUUAUCCAAAGUAUCUCCUAGAUCAGUAUUUAUAUAAUCAUGUAAUUCGAGAUGUAUGCCCGUUUUAUAAAAUAAUCUCAAAUAAGGAUAGAAUUCAUAUAUUUUAAAAAAAAUUAUUACAGAAAUCGUAUAAAAUGACUUACAAGAUCAACUGAAAAUGUAAUAUCUAAUCUUAUAAUUGUUAAGUAGAUAAUACUACUAAUAAGAGCAUGAAAAGAUCGAGAGUUAGAAAAUAUUUUCUCAUCAUUAUAAUUUAAUUUUUUAUUUACAUCAAACAGAGUAGAAAUCUUCUUAUUUUUAUUAAUUCCAAACCUUUCAAUAAUUUUCUUUGCAUACCUUGUUUGAGAGAUGAAUAUAUCUUUGUUUGUAUAUCACCGGAUCAAGAAAAAUAUUAAUCUCUCCUAAGAAUUUCAAUUCAAAUUAGAGAGAAAGAUCACCACAAAAUUUUGAAAUCUCUAUUUCAUCGUUAUGGUUGAUGAUCAUAUCAUUCACUUAUAGAAGAACAAUAAUAUAUAGGGUUUCUUAUUUUUUUAAUAAUUAAACUAGGAUAUGAAUAAGAAAAAAAUAACCAUAAAAUUGUAAGUGUUGACUAAUUUUUUUCUGCUCUGAGAGCCUGCUUAACCCACAGAGAGCUUUCUUGAGCAUAUAAAUAUAAUUUGAUUUAGAAAUAAAAGUAUACCUUGAUGGUUGUUUCAUAUAAAUAUCCUUAUCAAUUUUAUCAUAUGGGAAUGCAUUCUUCACAUCAAGUUGCCAAAGCUUUCAUUUAAGAUUGGCUAUCAGAGCAAUCAGCUCACAUAUGUUAUUUUGACCACUGGACUAUAUAUUUCCUCAUAAUCUUCUUUAUAUUUUGAGAAAACCUCUUUGUAAUAAAUCUUGCCUUAUAAUGAUUUAUACUUCCAUCUAACUUAUGUUUCAUCUUAUAAACUCAUUUGCAAGUAAUUAGAUCUAUAUUUGUGAGCUUUGACACAAGAUCCAAAGUUUUAUUUUUAUAAAGAGCAUUCAUUUCUUCACUCAUAUUAUCCUCCUACACUUUAACAUCUUUGGCUUCAUCAAAACAAGUAAGCUUAAAAUCAUUUUUUAUGAAUAUCAUUAAGUCAUCUAUCGUUUUGCUCGAUCAUUAAUGAUGAAGAAAUAACAAUAAUAAACACAUAUAAAGGAAAAAAUGAGCUAAAAUAUAUAAGAACAUUACAUGAUAAAGGAAACUCAACUUAUAUCACUAAUAUUAAAAUUUUUAAAAGAAAUUAUUUAUGAAGAAUAAUAACUAAAAACUUCAUUAAACACAACAUCUCGAGAUAUCAUAUACAUGUAUGAAUCAAUGCAUUUAUAACAUUUCUUCCUUUCAUCACAGUCAAUAAAAAUAUAUUUCUUGGUCUUAAUAUUAAAUUUCCUUCUCUUUGAGUCUGGUAUAUGAACAUAGCAUAGAGAACCAAAUACUCAUGUUUAACAUUUGGUUUCUAACAACGUAAGUUGCACAUGCCAUACCUUGUUCUCAUAAGGCUUUGGAUAAAUUCUUUGCAUGAAACCAACACUUAUAAGUCUCCAUGAGAUGUCAAAAUUUUCAUUCACCUAUAUCAUUUUAUUGUAGCAUAUUUGCACGUGUAAGUUUCUUUUGAUACCAUACUCUUUAUAAAAAGAGAAUAAUAUAUCAGAAGUGAAUUCUCUGCCAAUAUGUAAUCUUUUAAUUUUUUAUUUAAGAGCACUUUCAACUAUUAACUUAAACUUUUAAAAAAAUUUAAAAAAAAAUUGAUUUUUCCUUCACAAAAUAGAUCUAAGUGAACAUUAUAAAAUCAUAAAUAAAGAGAAGCAUAUAACGAGAACUUAAAUAACUAAAGGAUUGCUUGUCAUUUGUAUUGAUGCCGACAUAAAUAUAGAGCGACAUUGUUUAUCCCCUCUUAUUAUCAAUGCUGACACAGAGGCAGAACAACACUACUCUACAUCUGCAUCUAUGUUUAUAUUGAUGUAGAUAUCGAACAUUCCUUUCGCCACUCUACAUUUGUAUUGACAUCGACACAAUUGCCAAGUGGCAUUAAUGUAGAUGCAGAGUAUCGAAAUCUGCAUCACCUUUUUCCUUCUCUUUCUUUGCCUCAUCUAUUAUUGUUACUCUUUCUCCCCAUCGAUAAUAGUCACCUACAACUCUCAUUGGCAUUGUUGUUUAUCAUCACCGAAAAUAUAAUAUGAUAUUAAAAUUAUCCUUUUACCCAUUAUUUUCAUGCUUCCAUUAGUAAAACUAAUAGCGUUAAGAUAAAUAAAAUUAGAUAUUUCACUUUCAUAAUUAUACGAAUUCUAAUGUAUAUUUUUAAAAUUUAUUAAUCAGGAUACUAAAUAAGUCUAACUAGAGAUGGUAAUAUAUAAUUAGUCCCUUCCUUUACUUGUAAAUCUAUAUAAUCAAGGUACAAACUGUCUAGAUAAGUGGAAAUAAGUCCUAUUAAUGGUAUAUGCUAGAUCAAGAAAUCUAAGUUUUCUUCGUACAAUUGGAUUUAUAAAUCUCAAUCUCAAUAAUAGGGUAUUAAUAUCAAUAUUUGCUGACCCAUAAAAUCUGAGGGGCUUUUGUUGCCAAAAGAAAUGGCAACACUAAAUAUUCUAGAGUACCUAUAAAAAUUGAGGGGCAAUCAUUAUAGUACAAGUUUACUACCUCAAUAAGAGGUGGAGAAUCCAUUCACCUCCAUUUCUCUCUUAGUUUCUUUUUCUCGAAUAAGACUCAUGUCAUCAGAAUGAUUACUAGACAUAUGCAUUGGUAUCUGUAUCACCAAAAGGAUUUUACAAUAAAUUUGAAUGUUUGAAUUCAAAGUAUUUGAAAAUCAAUCAUAUACAUUUAUCAAAAGUGAAUACAUCGUGCAUAUAAAGAUGCUUGGUUCAAUUUUAAUAUGUUCCACACUUCGAUACUAGUAUUGUAAAUUAACUUAUCAUGAAUAAUAAANNNNNNNNNNNNNNNNNNNNNNNNNNNNNNNNNNNNNNNNNNNNNNNNNNNNNNNNNNNNNNNNNNNNNNNNNNNNNNNNNNNNNNNNNNNNNNNNNNNNNNNNNNNNNNNNNNNNNNNNNNNNNNNNNNNNNNNNNNNNNNNNNNNNNNNNNNNNNNNNNNNNNNNNNNNNNNNNNNNNNNNNNNNNNNNNNNNNNNNNNNNNNNNNNNNNNNNNNNNNNNNNNNNNNNNNNNNNNNUAUAUAUAUAUAUAUAUAUAUAUAUAUAUAUAUAUAUAUAUAUAUAUAUAUAUAUAUUAUUGAUACAAAUAGACCUUUGUAUAUUUAUGUUUGUAUAGGUGUAAAGUGACUUCCUUUUUAUAAAAGACUUAGAGCUCAAGUCUGAAUGCCACUAAAUAUACCUUUUUAUGUGAUUUUAAUCCAAUGCAUUAAAUACUUUAGAAAUCAACUUAUUAUAAUAAAACAAUACGUGUCAAUGUAUAUUUUUUAGCCAUAGAGAAAUAAAUAGUUGAAUAGGUGUCUUUCCAUAAUAAUGCUUAAAAAAUUUUAAAAAUACUUUAUUGAUUCUUACAAAUAUUAAUGUGUCCCUUUAGAAAACUCAAGCUAAUCACUCCUGGUCAUGAUUAAUUAUAUAUAUCACUGAAGCUGAUCUGACACCGUUGAUCUAGCCGUCCCGAAUCUUGAUGCGACUUACGGGUGGGCGACGAUGUGGUCAUCCUGGCCGGAUCAUGAAUCGGACGGCUCAGCCUUGACCGCAUCAACGUCAACAGCGAUGGAGUGCCACCAAUUUGCCUCACGGCUUUUCCUGUCUCAUCCACGUCGCGAAACACGGGAAGCCUUCACACAGGUGUCGUAUGGCACACUGUGUCUCAGGAUGAUCGGUCAAGUCGAAUGUUCUGUGCCGUGGAUAAGACAGCUGAUAUGAGUACGUCAGAAGAAUCGUGUCGGGAUUUACUCAAACCCAAAAUUUCAUGCGAACCCACCAUCUUUGUUUCUACUGAUAGGAAGGAUGGGUCCCGCAGUGGGUCCCGCAGGAACUAGUUUCGUUUCUCCAAAUAACACACCGGUAAAAGAGUGGGUAGUACGUAGUAGCUCUUCUUGCUCAUGAUGAGCUCAUCCAUCGUCCCCUCUUCAUGGAAGCACAUGUCGCCCGGCUCUUGUGAUCCUCCUCUUCCUCUUCCUCGUCUCUAAUUCCAAUCCGGUCUCCAUUUCGGAUCCAAAGCGGACAACAUGAUUGCCACAGUAAGUGAUCCCCAUCUCGAAUCUCAUAUCUCCUCUCCCUUUUCGUCCUCCUCGCAGCAAUCGAGUGAUCUCUGGACGCAGCGGUUUAUCGAUCUCUUCCUGGCCUUGUCGGUCUCUUUUCGGGGUGGAUUCGAUGGUUUCUUUUCUUGCUGAGGUUACAAAGCCGGAAUCGGUCGAUAAACCUCUGCAUCCGGACUUCCGCCGACAACCAUUCCUCCGUCCUCCCCCCAACCCAAAACACUCCCCCCCCAACCCCACCUUCUUCCUCCACUUGUUUUCGUCAUCUUAUAUAAUGAUUGGGCAAUGAAGAGGUGGUAGCUGUUAGGGCUAAUUGAUACGGCCGAUUCGAUGCCGAUUUCGAUCCCUUUUUUUUACUCAGAUUAUUGUCGGCAUUCUGCAGAAUUUCAAUCAACGAAUAAUGGUGCCAUCAGCAUUUAGAUCGAUUCAAAAUGGGUGACGUCUUGAGUUGUGAUGAUGGACAGAGAAAACAGUAAAUAUGUUUGAUUUAAUGUCUCUCAGUUCUUUCUUAUGCCUUCAAUUUUUCAUUGUUCUUUUGGAUUCGUUUAUCAUUUCAUUAUCUUCACCAUUUGAUCUAUCCAUAUUUUGGAUUAUUCACUGAAUAGGACGUAAAUGUUUUGUAUUAAACAGACAGCAGAGGACUACUAGAAAUCUUUAUUUACAGAAACUACCAUUAUUGGUUAAUUCGUCAAGGAUGAGAGGUCGGAAUAUACUCUGAGAUGGCUUAAACUUUGCUUUGGGAGGACUAAAUGGGGAAAAUAAGCUCAACUGGUCAAAUUAAUGUGACAGGAUGGCACAGUUUUUAUGAAGAUGAUUGAGAUAUAUUCCAUAUUUUGAUGUUUAAACAGUUAGCCUCAGAAAUAUUUUUCAUUUAAUUUAUUCCUUCUACCAAGAUUUGUUGUUCUCCAUGGAUGUGAACCUCCCUAUAUUUGUUAUGUUUGCAAUGCUUGAAGGUGAAUCUGUAUAAAGAAUUUAAACAUAAAUAUUUUUCUAACAUUUAGCCACACGAAUAUUUUUCAUUUAAUUAAUUCCUUUUACCCAGAUUCCUUGUUCUACAUGCAUGUGAACAUCUCUAUAUUUGUUAUGUUUGCAAUGCUUGAAGGUGAAUCUGUAUAAAGAAUUUAAACAUAAAUAUUCUUCUGACAUUUAGCCACAGGAAUAUUUUUCAUUUAAUUUAUUCCUUUUACCAAGAUUCCUUGUUCUACACGGAUGUGAAACCAUCUAUAUUUGUUAUGUUUGUAAUGCGUGAAGGUGAAUCUGUAUAAAGAAUUUAAACAUCAAUAUUUUUCUAGAAAAGAGCUAUAUGGUACAUGUGUUUUUUUUUUUACUGUGAGAGCAUGUGGUGUAUUUUGUUGUGUGAAUUAUACUUGCUGAAAUAUGGUGGUGGUCAUGAAUACUGAUCUUUGGAUUAUUUAAUUGCGUGCAUGACAUAGCUACCUGUUUAUAACAUGUGUUCUGUUGGAUGUGUUUCAAAUGAUUGACAAGGUUUUAUAUUUCAUUCUUAUCUGCAAAAACAUAAAUUGCAUACUUUGUGAAUUAGAAUACAAUGCAUAUGGAAAACAAAGCAGUCAAGUAAUCUGCAUGCUGAAUGUGUGCCUGACUCUGUUUUUUGGGUAGAAGGGUCUAAAUUCUUAAUGCAUUACGAUAGACAAGGCGAGUGAGAGAAGAGAAACUUGCCAGGAACCAUUUUGAGAGAUAUAACUACAUUUAUGUAUUUCCAACCUCAUUUUCCUUGAUGUAUAAAUAGCCCUGAUAUCGUGGAUACCUUGUGUAAAAAUGAUGAUAUUUAAUUAUCAUCUUUCUUGUUUUCUUUCCUAAUGACCUUACUACCUUCUCUACUUGUUGGAUAAUUAAUAAGACAUAGUAGCUUCCCAGGGCAUAGCUGACCAUGCAUAAAAACCAACAUACCUUUGUAUUUGUAUUCAAAUCAAUUGGCAGGAUAAUAGACUUGUCUAGUUGAUUGAAAUUAUGAUAGCAGUUUAUUUUCUCUUUUUAAGGUAAAAUGUUGUUGCUAUUGCUGUGUGUCAUCAAUUAAAUGCAAGAAUAUCUUCUUGCUUUUCUUUUCUCCUCCUGUAUACUUGUGUGAAUUUUGGUAACUGUCCUAUGGAGCACAAUCUUUUUGAGGCCUUCAUGCCAUGUUAUCUUUUGUAACAUUUCAAAAGAAGUGAGAGUGUGACCAAUUAAACAGAUCGUCCGGUUCUUUCAGAUUAUUAUUCAUGCUUUAUUUUGUUAAAUCUUGAGUACUUCCUAAUUGAGGACUUUUAUUAUGUCAUUCUCAAGUGCCUGAUUUAUGUUAUUUUCUUGUUUGUCUUAGUAACUAUGAUAAAAUAGUUUGCUUCCUCUAUUAGGUCAGACUCUAUUGUUAAUGUCAUAUAGUUUCAUGUAAAGAAUGGGUCGCCUAGUGGAUGAGACCUCGAUCAAUUUAGCUAGUGUUGGAUAUGUAUGUGAAAUAUAUUAUUGAAGUUGCUCAUAUCGGAGAACACAAAAGUUACUUCAUUAGUUUUACUGAAUUUGUUCCACUUAGUCCUUGAGAUGUGUGGUUUUUUUUUUCUUUUUUUGUGCUGCCUUCUUGCAACCUUAAUAUCAACAUUCUGCAUGUUUUAGUUGGUUAGUAAAUAAAGGGUCUGCAUGAUCUUGGAACCUUAAGGUGUUAAAGGCUGUAAGAAGAUCUUUUUCCAAUGUAUGAAAACAUAUAAAAAAAAUGAUGAACCAAUUAACUUGACUAUACAAACCCCAUUUUCUUGGCCAAAAUUUAUCUUUGCAACCAUUAUAAGUUUCAGUUAUGCUCAUUCAGCGCUUGAUUUCACUCAACUUCCUUCAAAAUGAUUUGAAGAGUAGACACACAGUGUUCUACCCCAUGCUCAGAGGCUAGUAGUAUUUAGGGACCUUUUUUGCUGAACCACUUCAAUUCUAGGCCAUGAUGAAAUUACUGUUUUAUCAGCAAAGAACACACUGUGAGUGCAAUCUGAUGCUCUUUCAAGUUCAAACUCUGGUUAUCGGAGGAUCUUGUUCUCAUUUAGCCUAUUUACUGUCAGUAAAGUAUUACACCUUUCAUCUUGAGUUCAAGGGCUCAAUGAAGCCAAGUUAUGGUUAAUGUUGCAGAACUUUAUACAGUGUCUCCUUUCACUGCAUAUGCACCACCUGCAUCAUAUUUUCUUCAUUGUUCGCCCGAAUUGGUGUACUGCAAUAGUUUAUAUGCACCAAAUUUGAUGUUAUGAACGUCUCUCCUCCAUAUAUAUUCCAUAAAUUUGUUGAGCUACCAAUGUAGAACAUCGUUCAUAGUUUCUUACAGCUUGUAGCUUCGUCUUCAAACAAUCAAAGCACCUUCGCUGACGUAUGAUGCAGCUUUCUUCAUGUAGAACAGAGUGGAUCUACUUUCCAAAGAAAGGAAGGCAUCGACCCAUCUACUUGAUGGUGGACUUCCGGGCGUUCCGAGAACGCGCUCUCCCACCGUCGUUCUUCAGCAUGUGGAGCAAGAAGUCGUUCCACGUGUCGAUGGGCCCCGGCAGGCACCAGUGCACGCAGUCGUUGUACAUCGUCACGUUCUCGUGCGGCCGGUGGCCGUACCGGCUGGGGUGCCCGUCCGGCCUCAGCAGCAUCGCAUCCGUGGUGUCCAGCAGCCGGAACCUGACGCCCUUCUCCCGCCCCUCCAUCUCUGCCUCCCGGAACUCCUCCACCUGCGUCAUGUACAUCUCGAGGUUGAUGCCGUCCAAUCUCGUCUCGUCGCUGCGGAACGGCUGCUGCCGCACGCAGUUCCCCCCCUUGUCCCACUCGCCGUUCUCGAAGUGCGACGGCGCGUACGUCCGCAGGAACACCGUCCCCCUGAAUCCUUCGAGGCUGUUGAAGACCCGGAACGCCGCCCGGAACGCCCGCCGGUAGCUGUAGUACAUGGUCAGGUCGGUGACGUUCGGGUCCAGGCAGUAGUGGCAACCGACGAGCUGGCCGCCCUCGAAGAACAUUGCCGGCCGGAAAAACCAAUGCCCGGCCGACACGAUCACGUAGUCGAACUCCGUCAUCUUGGUGGUCCAGUUGGUGUCGGGCUCGUCCAGGUACAGGUUGAACAGGCCAGUGUGCGUGGGACCAUUGGGGUCGGCUUCGUGGGCCCUUACCAGGAACGGAGACCAGAAGCUGGCGACGGUGAAGUUGUGGGUGGGGAAGUGAUAGCGUCGGAACUUCUCGUCUUGAGUGAGGGAGGCAUCCACCACGUACGUCACCUGCAGAUGCAUUUAAGGAGAAGCCUCAUGCUGCAAUGGUUGAGAGCAUCGGAAGUAGCAUUACAGUUGAUGUUCUUAUCAUUCUCUGUUGGAUGCAGGUCACUAAGUACUGAAAGUGCAGCUUUUUGCUACACAUUAGGGAAACACCAAAGAGCAUGAAGACGAAGACUGAAAAGGGACAACUCACUCUGUGGAGGAGACAGAUGAGGGACUGCAUUUGGUUCCUCCCGACGGAGUCGCCG
rnacentral:lncRNA from 1 species